CGAAACCGAUAGCGAACAAGUACCGUGAGGGAAAGUUGAAAAGUACUCUGAAUAGAGAGUUAAAUAGUACGUGAAACCGCUUAGGGGUUAAGCCCGAUGAACCCGAAUAUCUGAUGUGAGAAAUUCAAUAUUGUUCAUUUAAUGGAUAGUAUGCACUUUUCUCAUAGUAAGACAUUGUAAUCCAUUGAUGCUAUAUCUCUUUCAUUUAUGGGAGAGAUGAUUUAACAUACGGACAAGAUGUAUAUGAUUAUUCUAUCAGUGAUGUGUUUACAUGUCAUAUGAAUAAAAUCGUUUUGUACCUGUUUAAAUAGUCGAUGGAUUUUAACUGAAUCAUGCUUGCAAUUCAUUUUGCGUUUCGUAUUGUUGGCCAUUUUGGUUGAUAAUAGCAGAAAUGGCAUGCAUUCGAUUAACAAUGCGAUAGAUUUGGGAUACUUUCAGGACCCGUCUUGA
rnacentral:rRNA from 1 species